CGUUAUUAGCCGAGCGACGAUAUAAGUGAAGGUCCGGUGAUGGCUCGCUGCAGUACCGGGUCGCCUCCUGCACUGACCCUCCGCGCGUCUCUCCUUCCAUUUUUGGGGAAUAUUUUCUUUCUUCUUUUCGUUCUUUUUUUUCUUUCUUUUCCUCUCCUUUUUUUUUCUUCCCAAUCCACCUACGACAACUAUCGGAAAAUCAUUCUCUGUCUCGAUUAAAAAAAAAAAAAAAAAAAAAUACUGAUUAACUUUUGGAUCAUCUUCGACAGAUAGAGAGAAACAGAAACCCGGAGAGAGAGAGAGAGAGAGAGAGAGAGAGCAAGGGAGAGAGACAUACUCAUCAGUCAGAUCUUCCUUCAAAGAUCAUCAUACUUGUGAGCAACUUCGUGCAUUUCGCGCCAACUCGAAAUCAGCCGAACAUGGCCGAAGGUAUCUACAUUACAAGGAACGGAUAUAUGUGUAUGUACGACCGGGCUAUAGUAUAACUAUGUACCCGCAGUGCGCACACUGUUAGGAUCGACCAAUUGAGCCUGUUAACGUCAAUUGAUCUAAAUUGCUUCAAUUGGACAUAAUUGCGCGAAGGCGACGGGGAACCUCCGCUGUUACUACUCACCAACCAUAUCCACGUUUAUCUCUGCACGCAAAUAUCUUUUCGUCUCGAAUUUUAACGUAUCUAUGUAUAUAUUUCUUUCUCUUUCUCUUAUAUACCAGACGGAGAACAUUAUAUACCUACAGUUUUUUUCCUACUCUUCUCUAUGACCUUUUUCUUCUUUUCUUUCUUUCUUCCUUUUUUCCUUUUCUUAUUUUCUUCUUUAUUUUAUAUUUCUUUAUUUUUUUCCUAUUUCUUUCUUUCUUUUUUUCCUCCCUCCCCCCUACCCCCGUAACCCGACCCAACCUCCCUCUAAAUUUACAAUACAAUAUUAUUGGAUCGUUGAGAGGAUGAUUAAGAAAAAGGAUUAUUAUUGGCAAAAGUUAUCAUUUUAUUUCUUUCCAUGUUAUAAAAAUAAGAAGACGAGGAUCAGAAGAAGAUGGAGAAGAAGAUGGAGAAAGAGAAGAAAGAGGAGGAAGAGAAGAAGGGGAAAAAAAAAAAAAGAAAGAAAGAAAACGAUACGAGAAUACGUAAGACAAAAUGUUAUUAUAUUCUGUUAAUGUUUAAGAUGAUAAAAGAUUUAGGACUUAAGUUCUUUUUUUUUUUUUUCUCUCUACCACGAAUCAAUUUAGAAUUAUGAAAAUUUAACUUACGUCAUAUCGUUAUAGAUAAGUCAAUAUUAAUAUCGCAAUCCUACGAUGAUAUUAAUGUAUCCGAAUUAUAUAUUAAGAAUAUUAAAUAGAUUUACCUUUCCUUGGUUUUUUUUUUCUUUCUUUCUUUCUUUCUUUUUUUUCUUUUUUUUUUUUUUUUACAAUCCGAGAAGAUCCACCCACUCGUUAUCGCUCGUUCAUUAUCUCGAUAUGAAAUUUGGAGAAAUUUUAUAUAUUAUAUUAUCACGAUACAAUAGGGAAUCACAUUUUUAUUGUUAGAGUGGUAGAAACUUUAAAACGUGUCGCAGCAUCACGAUGACGUCGUAUCCUGAUUAAAGAACAGACUGGUUCAUAUCCGGCUCACGUUCAUCAGUAUUCACACAGUCUCAUACUUUCUCGAGAUUAAUUCUAUUUCUUUAUCAAUCUUUUUCUUCUUCUUCUUUUUCCUUUUUCUUUUUUCUUUUUUUUUUUUUUUUUCAUUUUCUCUCUCCCCCUUUCCCUCAACUUUUUUUCGUAUUUCGUAAUUAUCGCCAUUUUCUUUCUAUAUCUUCUUCUUCUUCUUCUUUUUUUUUUUUUUCUUUUUCUUUUUCUUUUUUGUUCAUACGUUAUUCAUUGCGAAGUUAUUUCAGAUAUACUUGUUAGAACUAUUUGGACCCACAUAUUUCGUGAGAACUACAUUCUAUUCUUUUCUCUCUUUCUCUGUCUCUUUGGUAUGAAUUUCGGUUUCUCAUGAUAUUUUCUGAUUGGUUGAGGGUGAUACACUGACUACGAUCCCGCAUAUAAGACUUCGUAUACCUUUUACGUUUCUAAUAUAAUAUAACUGCGGGUGGGAAUUUACGAGAGUAUAUCUUUCAAUCUCUUUGAUUACAUGAUCUUUUUCUAUGUAUAUAUAUAUAUAUAUAUAUAUAUAUAUAUAUAUAUAUAUAUGUAUGUAUGUAUGUGUGUGUGUCAAUUUUUCUUUUUCAUGAAAAAAAAAAAGUUAGAAAAAUAGGCCCAUAUUAUAGGGUGUCUAAGAAAAAAAAAAAAAAAAAAGUAAGAUGGGUGCUGGGUAAUCCUUCAUCCGAAUCAUUUUACAUGAGACAUGAUCUGUCCAUUGAAUAGUAUCUACUCUGCAAUAAGGAUAUGUAUCCAAGUUUAUUACGUUAAUCAAUUAAUAUGAUUUUUAUGUUAUAGUA